GUUCACGUUUUAUCCCGCGUUUUGUUGCACCUCUGGACGUGGGGGUGCCGGUACAGUGCCGGCGUGGUGCAGCGCAAGCAGACGAUUGCAGCAGCAGCAGCAGCAGCAGCUCUGGCAUCGACGAUGGCGGUGAGAACAAACGUAGACGGCGUGGAAACGCUCCUGACACCUAUCCUUAGCGAAGACGGAAGCCGAAUUCCACAGGGCGCGGUUUUGCCUACAGUGCAUCAGAUGGAACAGUAAUCACAUUGGUUUUUGAAAACGAUGAGCCACAGCAACAAAACUGUGAUGACCAUGACUAUGCUAGUCAACGUUUGUCAGACGUUCCACUUGUGUCACCCAGUCAAGCCAGUGAACAUCCUUCAGAGCCUGAGCUGUGGAGCGGGCGGAAAACAAGAUUUUUAAUUAACAAAUAUAAGGAGCUUAAAGAUCUUGUCGGCAAAAAGGGUGGCUUUCGCACGAAAAAGGCCCUGUGGCAAACACUUGCCGAAAUGAUAUCUAGAGAGUUUGAAUGUCUGUGUAGCCCGCUGCAAGUACAGAACAAAUGGAAAAGUCUCGAGCGGGCUUACAAACGGACCAAAUAAAAAAAUAACUCUUCAGGAAGUGGAAGGGUGUCUAGCGAAUUUGAAGAAGAACUGAGUGAUGUUCUAGAAAAAGAACAUCACAUCACCCCGACAGUAUUGAUUACCCCAGGAAGGGUGAUUGAAAAGAACAGGGACAGCCACAAUGCAAGCGGGCCUCAUGAUCAUCCACCAGUAAGUGCAUCUGAGGAUGCAGAACCUGCCAGACCAGAAGGUGCGGCUGCUGCAUAUUCUGGCUCAGAAGAACCUGCGGAACACGAAGACCCAGCUGCAGCUGAAGAAGCGUCAAGCCAACCCCUUAAAAAAAGGAAAAGGGUGGAUUGCACGCCAAUUCAAUGUCUCCUUCAUGAAUUUAGAGAAAGCCGGAAAGAGAGGGAGGAGCGGUCGAAGGCAAAGAUGAGCCUUCUUGAACGCCUAGUGACUGCUGUAGAAAGCCAAUGUAGAAAAAAUUGUGAAUAAAUUAAGAUAAUAAAUUGAGAUUAAUCAAAAUUGUUUUUCUUA